rnacentral:rRNA from 1 species
CAGCCGCGGGAAUACGAAGGGGGCUAGCGUUGCUCGGAAUCACUGGGCGUAAAGGGUGCGUAGGCGGGUCUUUAAGUCAGGGGUGAAAUCCUGGAGCUCAACUCCAGAACUGCCUUUGAUACUGAAGAUCUUGAGUUCGGGAGAGGUGAGUGGAACUGCGAGUGUAGAGGUGAAAUUCGUAGAUAUUCGCAAGAACACCAGUGGCGAAGGUGGCUCACUGGCCCGAUACUGACGCUGAGGCACGAAAGCGUGGGGAGCAAACAGGAUUAGAUACCCCCGUAGUCCCUGUCUCUUAUACACA